UACGUAGGUGGCAAGCGUUGUCCGGAAUUAUUGGGCGUAAAGCGCGCGCAGGCGGUCCUUUAAGUCCGAUGUGAAAGCCCACGGCUCAACCGUGGAGGGUCAUUGGAAACUGGGGGACUUGAGUACAGAAGAGGAAAGUGGAAUUCCACGUGUAGCGGUGAAAUGCGUAGAGAUGUGGAGGAAUACCGGUGGCGAAGGCGGCCUUCUGGACGAUGACUGACGCUGAGACGCGAAAGCGUGGGGAGCAAACAGG
rnacentral:rRNA from 1 species